rnacentral:sRNA from 1 species
CUUUCCAUUCAUUCUAUCGCGGGGGCUCCGUCAUUUUCUCUUUCCUCUUCUACUUCUUGCUCAAGAAGAGUCGUACCCCUAUGACUGUUGCAGCUUGGCGCGCACCUUCUGCACAUAAUUAUUACCCCAUGGCUCGGUCUACCAAGAAUACGGUCAGCGGCAUUACUCAUUUCCACUGAUUCUUCUUGGGGGGAUAGGCAUAACAUCAACAUCUGACAAUUGACAAGCUGCUAAUAAUACCAACGCUCAGCGCAGCAAUCUAUUAGCGAUGGUCAGCAGUAGUAGUAAUUGCUAUUAUUAUUCGUCCGCAUCGGCGAAUAGCAAAUGGACAGAGUGACGGAGGCCGAGAUGGAAUGCCAAAAUGACACAAGCAUCAUCCAAGCAUUAUGUAUCCAUCACUGAACUUCCCCCGAGCCGCAGGACUUGUCGGUCUUCAGUUUUCGUCUUCCAGCUUCCAUCUAAAAAAUGAUAAGGACAAGCCGGAAACAUCAAGACAUCAAGACCCAAGCAAAAUUGGCAACUCUUGAGUCCAACGCCAAGUGUACCAGUGCCCCGAUUUCUGGGCUUUAACGGCCAUCGGUGAUGAUUUCAUGCACUUCAUCAUCUUUCCUUUCCUCUUCUCUAUCUUCUGUUUCUUACUCGCAGUAGCGUGCUAUACUAGCAUACCACUCCAUUAUUGCUGCAUGCCACUCCCCUACUACGAUGACGGGCACUAUGGGGAUCUAAUACAAUCAGUAUUGCGCAAGCACUUUAUCAGCGAUGUUGCACUUCUCUUUCCUCGUCCACCUUGCACUUCCUGCAAACUCCCUGCCAGUUCAUCACGAGUAGUCGAUCUGUCCUCCGUCUACCGUCCACGAAUCCUCCUUCGUUCAUAUCCCGUUUUCCUCGACAUGGCCUUCGGGCGUCAAUCUUGCACGCAUCACUCUGCAACAAUUUUUUUGCCACUCGUUUUUAGAGUAGUAGUGUCUCCUUCGCUAGGAAAACACGUGGAGCAUUAUGAUGCGGGCAUGCGCAGCUAAAUUGGUGCCGACAUGCAGACCGUAUCGCUAUUUUCAUCAAGAACAAACGCCAAACACCUUUAUUUACAUCUCCCGACGACCUUCAUAGCUUCUUCUCCUCCCCCUCUCAUCACUUAUUUAUAAUUAAAUGACCAGUUGCAGUUUCACAGCCGCAGCCCCGUUCCAACUACGGCCUACGUACUGAGCCUAUCGGCCAUCAAAUGGCGGCAAAAGACAAUAUUAUCGUACGUAGAACUUGUAAUCCAAAAGAAAAGUAGAAGAAGAGCAAGAGGCGAGUGGAAGACUGAGAGGUUGGAAAGGGAAAAACAAGGGCACAAAAAGAGGACGACUAUUCUUCAUAUUCAGCUAUAUGCGUACAACACUUAAUCAUAUGCUACUAUCAUGACUAUCA